UACGUAGGAGGCAAGCGUUGUCCGGAAUUACUGGGUGUAAAGCGCGUGUAGGCGGCUCGUUAAGUUCCUGGUGAAAGCGCCCGGCUCAACCGGGCAGGGUCCAGGGAAACUGGCGGGCUGGAGGUCGGUAGAGGCGAGUGGAAUUCCCGGUGUAGUGGUGAAAUGCGUAGAGAUCGGGAGGAACACCAGUGGCGAAGGCGGCUCGCUGGGCCGGACCUGACGCUGAGACGCGAAGGCGUGGGGAGCGAACGGG
rnacentral:rRNA from 1 species